UACGAAGGGGGCUAGCGUUGUUCGGAUUUACUGGGCGUAAAGCGCACGUAGGCGGAUUGUUAAGUCAGGGGUGAAAUCCCGGAGCUCAACUCCGGAACUGCCUUUGAUACUGGCAAUCUUGAGGCUGGAAGAGGUUAGUGGAAUUCCCAGUGUAGAGGUGAAAUUCGUAGAUAUUGGGAAGAACACCAGUGGCGAAGGCGGCAUCCUGGACCAACACUGACGCUGAGGCGCGAAAGCCAGGGGAGCAAACGGG
rnacentral:rRNA from 1 species